rnacentral:tRNA from 1 species
UGUAGCUCAGUGGUAUAAAGAGCACUUGCCUUGAAUUCGAGAGUUACUGGGUUCAAGCCCAGCA